rnacentral:rRNA from 1 species
AUGGCGGUGCAGCAGUGUACGGUGGCGCUCUUGGUGGCCGUCGCCCUCGUGGCGGGGCCAGCCGUCUCGUAUGCUGCCGAAGCUGGCUACGCCCCAGCCGGGCCACAGCCCAAGGCCACGACCGAGGAGCAGAAGCUAGCUGAGAAGGCCAACAACGCCUUCAAGGCGGCCGUGGCGGCCGCAGCCGCAGCCCCUCCAACGGACAAGGGCAAGAUAUUCCUGAACACCUUCGUGCAGAUCUUCGGCAACUGGUCUCUUGAGGGGGUCACCGACACGUCCAGCACCAAAGCCAUUUUCAACUCCAGGGUCGGCUUCACUCUGGCGUUGGCCUCACACAAAGCCCAGGGUGCUACCCCGGAGGCCAAGUAUGAAUCCUUCGUGGCCAUGUUCGACAAGUCGCUCUGCAUCAUCGUCGACAUCCUGAAGGUCCACUCCGGUGAGGAAGUCAAGGGGCCGAUCCCUGCCGGGGAGCUCAAGGCCAUCGACCAGAUCGACGCCGCCUACAGCACUGCAGCCACCACUGCCGACGCUGCCCCGAUAAAGGACAGGUCCACCGUCUUCGACUCUGCCUUCAGCAAGGCCAUCAAGGAGACCACUGGUGAUGCAUACGAGGCCUACAAGUUUGUCCCUGCCCUCGAGUCCGCCGUCAAGAAGAGCUACGCCAUUUUUCUUCCCAGGAAUCCCCAGGACAAGCGCACGCUCAUUGAGUCAUUCCUGAGCGACACCAUCGUCUCCAUGGUCGUCCCCGCCCCCGCCACUCCCACCGCCGCCGCCGCUGCCGGUGGCUACAAAGUCUGA